CGAACUUACUUUAGUGCUGCCGGGAAAUGGACCUAAUUCCUCCUUCUCCUACCACAGAGCUGUUACCCCAGCUCUGCGUGCUCCUUCCUGCCACUUAACCCCUAGGCCCUGGAGAGCUGGGGACUGAACCCAGGAUCUUGUGCUUGCUAGGCAACUGCUCUACCACUGAGCUAAAUCUCCAACCCCAAGGAACAGAAUCUUUAGAAGUCACUGUGCACACUGAGCUGGCAGACAGAAACCUAUUUCUCUCAAAGACCUCUGAGAGAAGCAAUUAUAACCUUGUUCUAGAAUCUUAUAGAAAGUACCUGAAAUCUUUUUCCCUCACAAAGCUAGCCUUUUAUGUCUAGAAUGAAAGUCAUUGUUUAUGGUGCUAACUGUCUCUGAAUACUGACAAUUAAGCAAGAGCGGGGGAAAGCAGGUGACAGGCCAGUCACCAACAGACCUCCAUCAAGAAAGGACACAGUGGAUUGCUGUCUUAAGACAUAUGGGGGUUGGGGAGUCACAAAGUACUUACUGAUGUAUAUGCCCGACUACAGAUUGUGCAGGUAUAAACCUUGGCGUGCUUCACUGUGUGUGUAGAUAAAUGAGCCUCUAGUGAGGCUGCGUCUGUGUAUGCUCGGUGACAGUUGUGGCACUUGAAGGGUUUAUCUUUGUUGUGCUGCCGUCUGUGAGACUGCAAACCAAUGAGAGAAACCAAAGUAAGUACUGACUCUUCCUUGGCCUUUAUAGAGAGACAGCCCCAAGGUGAGCAUAGACCAUCCUCGCUUCCCUUUCUACAGGAAACAGUAGAGACUGCUUUGAAUGAAACUUUAGGAGUAGUGACUAAGAGAGGAAAUGUUAUCUCAAAUGGUACAUGUCCUUUCCAGGGGUUCACAGAAUCAACUCUUCAAAAUAUUGAGCUAAGGGCUGAGGAAAGGAUUCAGUAGGUAGAGUGCAUUAACAACUGUGCUUAGACCCUCAGCAUCCACGUAAGAGUAGGGUGAGGUGUUGUGGAAACAGGAAGACAGACCCCUAAGGCUUACCGGUCUAGUCAAAAAAAUGGUGAGUUCCAGAUUCAGUAAAAGAUACUGUGUCACAAAUAAGGUGGAGAGCUAUAGAGGCAGACAUCCAGCUACAGCCACACUCAAGCAUAAUAGCCACAGCUGUCUACACACACAGGGGACCAGGUGUGCCUCUGCGCUCUUGCUCUCUCACACUACAGAUCGGCUGUAUCAGGUGAGAGGAAUCUGUUCACAUUCAGCUAAGCCACAGACCUUGCAAAAAUCCUGGGCAUAGCAGCACAUGCCUAUAAUGCCAGCACUUAGAAGGCUGAGGAGUUAGGAUGGCAGGUUCAAGGCCAGCCUGAGCUACAUGCACGGCACACCAUUUUAAUAACAAAACCACAAGGAUUGCAUGUGUAGCUCAGUGGUAGAGUGCUUGCCUAGAGUAGGCUAUGAAAAACAAAACAAAACCAAAACAUGAAAAAUAUGCCAUAUUUCCCAUUGAGUGCCUUUGUGAGAUUGGGGAUAUCAAUGUUCUAUUAAUGCUACCAUGGGAUUGGCUCAUAUAUUAGGAUUAUGCUUUGUUUUGUUUUUGAGAUGGGGUUUCAUGUAGCCUAGGCUGUGUUUUUGUUUUUUUAAUAUUUGUGCAGGCCAGCCUGGUCUACAGAGCAAGUUGCAGGACAGCCAGGACUACCUAUCUCAAAAACCAAACCAAACCAAACCAAAAAAACCCAACCUCCAUCCCCCCUGCACAAAAAACAAAAACAAAACAAGAGGCCCUCAAAAAUGAGUAUUUGUACAGGUGCCUUGGGGGUUAGAAGUAGCACUGGAUUCCCUGGAGUAGAGUUAGAGGUAGGUAACUGUAACAUAAUCCUAGGACCUCUGCAAAAACAGCAAAUGCUCUUAAGUGUUGAAUGCUAUUUUCUUUUUUUUUUGUUUCUUGUGUCUUGCUAUGAAGUCCAAGGGAGGCUGGUCCCAGGCACAUGUCACUAUUGCCAUUACCUGAGGGUUUGGGCUUUUUGGUUUUAUUUUUUUAAAUUUGGUAAUUGUACCAGGGACUGAACCUAUGGCCUGGUACAUGCUCUACAAUAACUAUCAGUGAGCUACAGAACUGGUCUUUCUCCUUUCAUUUGUGUGUGUACGUUUGUGUCCCAGACUGUGCGUACAGGCAUAAAUGCAUUAUGUGUGGGUGUGCGUACUUGCCAUGGUACAUGAAUAAAAGAUAAUGGACACCUUCUGAGAGGGUUCUCACCUUCCAGUCAAUGUUGGCUGCAAGGGUCGAACUCAGAUAGUCAGUCAGGCUUGUACAGCAAGUAUGUUUCAGAUUUGAGCCAUCUUAUCAAUCUCCAAUUCUUAAAAAUAACCCUUUUGGGUGUUUGUUCAGAUGCACAUGUGUACACAUGCAUUUGGAGGCCAGUGACAACUUUGGUAUCAUUUCUCAGGAGUCACCCACCUUAUUUUCUUAGACACAGUCUCAGUGGCCUGUGGCUAGCCCAUUGCUUAGGCUGGCUAGGCAGUGUGCUCUGGGGAUGCCUAUGCCCACUUUCCCAGCACUGGGACAACCAGCUCACACCAAGACGACUAAUGGUUUUCUAGAUUUAUUAUUUGUUUAUUAAUUUAUUUAUUAUGUAUACAAUGAUCUGCUUACAUGUGUGCCUGCAAGCUAGAAGAGGGCAUCAGAUCCCAUUACAGAUGGUUGUGAGCUACCAUGUGGUUGCUGGGAAUUGAACUCAGUACCUCUGGAAGAACAAACAGUACUCUUAACCUCUGUGCCACCUCUCCAGCCCUUUUUUUUUUUAAGAUUGUAGGGAUCAAUUCGAACCUUCAUGUUUGUGGCGAGCACUUUACAACAAUUUUAUUUUUAAACCUUGAGACACGGUUAUAUCAGGCUGACCUGAACUCAUUUUGUAGCUUAGGCAGGUCUUAAACUUUGGAUCCUUUGCCUCAGCCUUCUAAGCAGCUGGGAUUAAAGCCUGGCAGGCCCAGCCUUACCUCAGUAAUUUUUAAUGUAUUUUUCUGGAAAAACCCUGAGAAUCACAGUAUUUGCUAAAAGGCAUCCCCAAGUUUGAGACUCAAGAUCUCAUGUGCAAUCCAGACACUGACCUGCAGGUUGGAGAGUUGUGUGAAAGCCUUCUCGCAGCCCGGGUGUGCACAUUUGUAUGGUCUAUCGCCAGUGUGGAUUCUACAGAGGACGAGAAGAGGCAGAGCAUGCACGUAAGCAAGGUCACUUAGGAGACGAGCUCCGUACAAGAUCUCAGGUUCUUCAGGUUGCCUCCAAGAAAGCUGCUCAGACGCAUGUGCAGGAGGCGCUAGCUCAAGCCCCCCUUUGCCCUGGGAUGGUUUGUGAUGCCUCAUCUCUGCUCACUGCCUACAGCACUCAGCUCAAGGAUUCUGCUGCGAGAAGAAGGACUGAGGACUCAGUCACCAGGUCACAGGCAGGGCAUGAUUUGACAUACAAAUUUGCAUUCAGAAACAAGGUAAAUACAAUUAUAAGAAAGAAGAAUAGACAACACUUCCUCCUUGGUCUCUAGCCUAUAGGCAGAAACUGUCCCCUCAGCCUUGAGCGUCCUAUCCAGAGACAGUCCUGUUACAAUGACUGUUGAAAGAAGCAGUGACUUUAGUGGAAACUCGUGGAAAUCCCUGGGGAGAUUCCCUCCAGUCUAAGCUGUUAAUGACAGGAAAUCCUGAGGUUGGAACCAAGCUCUCCUCUUCCCAACACCAUAAGGCACUCUAUCUACUACGAUGCGCCAAGACAUGAGGAUGCACCAACACCUGCUCCUUUUUAGGGCUUCAGACCAUCUCUGUGAUCAAGGCCUCAAAUACACGAAGACAGCAAACUCCACGUCUGACCAUUUUCAGGUGAGAACAUCACAUCCACAGGAAGCAGGGUGAGAUGGCCAAUUGCCAAGUCUGGACUUCAUCUUGAUAGAUCACCAAAGGAAAAGGAAACCAUCAGCUCUUUGGUCCCAAGCUGUCAGACUGCCUUCUCCCUAGUAACUCCACAUUGAGAUGAAAUGCAAACAAGCAUCCUGCUUAUGAAGUAAGAGCUUUUCGUUUGUUUCCACUCCUCUGUGAAUGUUCAGUUCAUGUCUCCUCCUGUGCUCUUCUCUUGGCAUCCCUUGAAAUCAACCUUGCUUCUUGCUGUGAGUGUAUCCAGGCUGGUGCCAGCUUCAUCUGAUUACGUCUCCCGAUUCUAACUGUGCCCUGAGGCACCAGAGCAGAAAUCUGGUAAGACGUGUGCUUGGUAUUUCCAGGGAGGAAAGCGAAGGAAAGAGUCCUCUUUGCUCCAAGUUUGCCUCUGUCUUUAAUCAAUCAGGAAAGUACCACACAAUCACUGUGUCUUUUCAAUACAGUUUGUGCUCCAGAAAGACUCUUGGCUUCCACUUCUUUUCUCUGUUGCCAGUCAUAUUCUCCUCCAGCCAGGUCUCACCUCCAGCCAGGUCUCUCCCCCGCCCCCCCGCAUGCGGGUGGUUGUGUGUCUCCGGGGCGGGGGUGGGGAGGGCAUGCCAGCGGGGCGGGAUCAAUAGCCCGCCCCUCUCCCUUACCGUGUGUGCUGCUGGAGGUGGGAGAGCUGGCGGAAGGCCUUCUGGCAGUAGGAACAGUUGUAGGGCUUGGCCCCCGAGUGGAUACGGAGGUGCUGGGCCAGGUAGGAGGUGUUGGCGAAGGUCUUGGAGCAGUGCGGGCACUUGUGGGGCUUGAUGGUCUCCGUGUGCAUCUUGGAGUGAAUCCUGCCGGAGAGGAGAGGAGGGAAGGGGGGGAGGGAGGAGGAAGCAGUUCGACACCAUGGGCUCAGCUCUCUGCUGGGUGAAAUGAUGUUGCUUGACGGAUGAGAGCACCCCCUCCUCCCUCCUCCCAAUAAAGCUCCGGCUGCAGAGGCUAAUGGAGGACACCCAUGCCUAGGUUGUUGCUGAUUGCAAGUCGGUUGCUAGAAUGGCAGUGAGAUGAUGAAGACUGCAACCCAUGGCUCUCGGUAACCUUACGGCACUCAGUCUUGUCAACCCUCGCUCGUUCAGCCUUUUCCUAAGGUUAUACACUCACCACAGUUACCCUGUUUCCAAAAAGCAAUUUGAACAUAGGCCAAUACCGCCUGUUCCCCAUGGACCUGAAGUUGAGUGCACACCAUGGCUCUGAACUGAAGCAUAUAGUAAAAGCAGGGUCUGCUCUGUAGAAGAUUUCCAAACAGACACAGAAAGAAACCACAAAAGUUGUUCCAGAACUGGGGAUUGGAAAUCACAAUUUUCAAGGCCCCCCACACUGCUAGGUUACACAGUUUAAUUUUCAGAUAGUAACAAAAGAGUAAGAUUUCAAAAGGCAAAGGAGAGAAUGGUUGGCACAGGCCACACGGCCUUGAAGGUUUUGUACCUAGGUAGGGAGGGGUAAAAGCAGCCUUACCGGGUGUGCUGCUGCAGGUGUGAGAGCUGACGGAAGGAUUUCUCACAAAAGUUACAACUAUAGGGCUUGGCCCCUGAAUGGAUACGGAUGUGCUGGGCCAGGUAGGAGCUGUUGGCGAAGGUCUUGGAGCAGUGUGGGCACUUGUGGGGCUUGGUCUCGGUGUGUGACUUGGAGUGGAUCUGCAUCUCCGACUUUGAGUAGAAGGUCAGUGAGCACAUCCGGCACCUGGCCAAGCAAGGGCAACAUUAGAGCUUCCACUAGGAGGUGCUGCCUGCUGAGCCUCACAGCCCUGCCAAGAGACACCCACCUAACAUCCCAUCUCCUGUUCCAACCACACAGUGAGGCUUCUAGACGCUUUCUCUUUUCUUUUUAAAGAAAGGGUCUCAUGUAGUUCAAGCUGGCCUUGAACUCAUGAGACUCUUGUUCUUACCUCCCAACUGCUGGGACUGUAAUAGCUAUGUGCCACCAAGCCCAGCUUCUCACUUCUCUUUACUGCCUAAGCUGACACAGUGCCCAGGACUCAGAAAUACCCAAUCAGUGCUGUGGUAAAUGACUGGAUACCCUAAGUAUACACAAUUUAGCAUUGGACUUGGGUAAGGCAGGAAAAUAUAAGCUGAGUGAAUACAGAUCAGAGGUUCUUGACCUUCCUAAUGCUGUGACCCUUUAAUACACUCUCUCGUGUCGUGAUGAUCCCAACCACAAAAUUAUUUCAUUGCCACUUCAUAACUGUAACUUUGCUACUGUAAUGAAUCAUAAUGUAACCAUCUGUUUUCUGAUGGCCUCAGGGGACCCCUGUGAAAGGGUUGUUUGACCUCCAAAGGGGAUGUGACCCAAAGGUUGAGAACCUCUGAUAAAGACUUUAUUAGGCCAGGUAAGUGUUCAAACUUGUUUCUCCGUGUUUAUCUAUUUGUCCCUUAGUGUUCAGGUCUCCAUGCAAUGAGGAAGAAAAGCUGGCUAGAUGAGCGCUCCCACCUCUACAUAACAGUCUUCAAUGAUUUCCCCUACUUCCUUUUCAGAGUGACUGCUAAAGAGAUGGAGACAGAAAGUACCAGAAUUACUUGGAGGGGCUUUCCCAACCCUUAUCUGGUCUCUACGUAGCUGACAUUCCACUAAUCAUUUGCCCUUGCCUCUCGUCUCAAGCCAAUCAAAUGAAGACCACUUUUGAAACAGGCCAAGGAAGCCAGCACUGGCUCUCCUAGAUGACGCCCACAGCACCUGAAUACAUGUACUGGUCACCUGAACCAGUGGAUCCUUCCUGCUCUGAAGCUAUCCAACAAUAUCAAAUAAGGAGGUCUCUCCCCAAAUUAAGCCAUCUUUGUAAACUGGGCAUCAAAGGGGAUGGGAUGAUUCUUGUGUUCUUCUCAUUUCAGAAUUUUUGAGAUCAGCUAAGACCAAGACAACAAGUUCCCUCUGAGAAAACAGUAUCAUUUGCUCUCAUCUCUGUAUUAAUCCGUUCACUAAAAUCACAGUAACUUGAUAACCAA